UACGAAGGGUGCAAGCGUUACACGGAAUUACUGGGCGUAAAGCGUGCGUAGGCGGUUUGUUAAGUCUGUCGUGAAAGCCCCGGGCUCAACCUGGGAAUGGCGAUGGAUACUGGCGAGCUAGAGUACGGUAGAGGAGAGUGGAAUUCCCGGUGUAGCAGUGAAAUGCGUAGAGAUCGGGAGGAACAUCAGUUGCGAAGGCGGCUCUCUGGACCAGUACUGACGCUGAGGCACGAAAGCGUGGGGAGCAAACAGG
rnacentral:rRNA from 1 species